CGGAGGGUGCAAGCGUUAAUCGGAAUUACUGGGCGUAAAGCGCACGCAGGCGGUUUGUUAAGUCAGAUGUGAAAUCCCCGGGCUCAACCUGGGAACUGCAUCUGAUACUGGCAAGCUUGAGUCUCGUAGAGGGGGGUAGAAUUCCAGGUGUAGCGGUGAAAUGCGUAGAGAUCUGGAGGAAUACCGGUGGCGAAGGCGGCCCCCUGGACGAAGACUGACGCUCAGGUGCGAAAGCGUGGGGAGCAAACAGGAUUAGAUACCCUGGUAGUCCACGCCGUAAACGAUGUCGACUUGGAGGUUGUGCCCUUGAG
rnacentral:rRNA from 1 species